rnacentral:rRNA from 1 species
GACGAACGCUGGCGGCGUGCCUAAUACAUGCAAGUAGAACGCUGAAGAGAGGAGCUUGCUCUUCUUGGAUGAGUUGCGAACGGGUGAGUAACGCGUAGGUAACCUGCCUGGUAGCGGGGGAUAACUAUUGGAAACGAUAGCUAAUACCGCAUAAAAUUGAUUAUUGCAUGAUACUUAAUUGAAAGAUGCAACUGCAUCACUACCAGAUGGACCUGCGUUGUAUUAGCUAGUUGGUGAGGUAACGGCUCACCAAGGCGACGAUACAUAGCCGACCUGAGAGGGUGGUCGGCCACACUGGGACUGAGACACGGCCCAGACUCCUACGGGGGGCAGCAGUAGGGAAUCUUCGGCAAUGGGGGGGACCCUGACCGAGCAACGCCGCGUGAGUGAAGAAGGGUUUCGGAUCGUAAAGCUCGGUUGUAAGGGAAGAACGGGUGUGAGAGUGGAAAGUUCACACUGUGACGGUAUCUUACCAGAAAGGGACGGCUAACUACGUG